AGAGUUUGAUCAUGGCUCAGGAUGAACGCUGGCGGUAUGCCUAACACAUGCAAGUCGAACGAUGUCUUCGGACAUAGUGGCGGACGGGUGAGUAACGCGUGAGAAUCUGCCUCUAGGAUGGGGAUAACGGUUGGAAACGACCGCUAACACCCAAUAUGCCGUAAGGUGAAAAAUUUAUUGCCUGGAGAGGAGCUCGCGUCUGAUUAGCUAGUUGGUGGGGUAAGAGCUCACCAAGGCCUCGAUCAGUAGCUGGUCUGAGAGGAUGAGCAGCCACACUGGGACUGAGACACGGCCCAGACUCCUACGGGAGGCAGCAGUGGGGAAUUUUCCGCAAUGGGCGAAAGCCUGACGGAGCAAUACCGCGUGAGGGAGGAAUGCCUUUGGGUUGUAAACCUCUUUUCUCAGGGAAGAAGAUCUGACGGUACCUGAGGAAUAAGUAUCGGCUAACUCCGUGCCAGCAGCCGCGGUAAUACGGAGGAUGCAAGCGUUAUCCGGAAUCAUUGGGCGUAAAGCGUCCGCAGGUGGUUUCCAAAGUCUGCUGUUAAAGACUGGAGCUCAACUCCGGAACGGCGGUGGAAACUUGGAAACUAGAGUUCGGUAGGGGUAGCAGGAAUUCCCAGUGUAGCGGUGAAAUGCGUAGAUAUUGGGAAGAACAUCGGUGGCGAAGGCGUGCUACUGGACCGUAACUGACACUCAGGGACGAAAGCUAGGGGAGCGAAAGGGAUUAGAUACCCCUGUAGUCCUAGCUGUAAACGAUGGAAACUAGGUGUGGCUUGUAUCGACCCGAGCCGUGCCGUAGCUAACGCGUUAAGUUUCCCGCCUGGGGAGUACGCACGCAAGUGUGAAACUCAAAGGAA
rnacentral:rRNA from 1 species